GAUCUAGUGGUGUAGUGGUAACACAUUCCGGUAUCAUACUCUGGACGGUAUUUUCCGGGAGAUCCCUCGUUCGAUUCAGGGCUAGGUCA